rnacentral:rRNA from 1 species
GACGAACGCUGGCGGCGUGCCUAAUACAUGCAAGUAGAACGCUGAAGCUUGGUGCUUGCACCGAGCGGAUGAGUUGCGAACGGGUGAGUAACGCGUAGGUAACCUGCCUGGUAGCGGGGGAUAACUAUUGGAAACGAUAGCUAAUACCGCAUAAAAUGGAUUAUCGCAUGAUAAUCGAUUGAAAGGUGCAAAUGCAUCACUACCAGAUGGACCUGCGUUGUAUUAGCUAGUUGGUGGGGUAACGGCUCACCAAGGCGACGAUACAUAGCCGACCUGAGAGGGUGAUCGGCCACACUGGGACUGAGACACGGCCCAGACUCCUACGGGAGGCAGCAGUAGGGAAUCUUCGGCAAUGGACGGAAGUCUGACCGAGCAACGCCGCGUGAGUGAAGAAGGUUUUCGGAUCGUAAAGCUCUGUUGUAAGAGAAGAACGAGUGUGAGAGUGGAAAGUUCACACUGUGACGGUAUCUUACCAGAAAGGGACGGCUAACUACGUGCCAGCAGCCGCGGUAAUACGUAGGUCCCGAGCGUUGUCCGGAUUUAUUGGGCGUAAAGCGAGCGCAGGCGGUUAGAUAAGUCUGAAGUUAAAGGCUGUGGCUUAACCAUAGUACGCUUUGGAAACUGUUUAACUUGAGUGCAAGAGGGGAGAGUGGAAUUCCAUGUGUAGCGGUGAAAUGCGUAGAUAUAUGGAGGAACACCGGUGGCGAAAGCGGCUCUCUGGCUUGUAACUGACGCUGAGGCUCGAAAGCGUGGGGAGCAAACAGG